CCCUUUUCAUUACAUGCCCCAUUCGCGCGUCAAUUGUCAAAAAAGAACCAAUGACAGCACCCAAAUAUUAACAAACAACUCGCAUUAAAAUGUUGCGGGGUUUUCUCUGCUUAUUCUGAACAUAAACAAUGUGUAAAUGGCUGCGUUCUAACUCCAAAAAAGCAAGCAACGCAGUCAGUAAUUGCCAAAUUUGCAAGUGCUCAUUUUCAACUAAAAUCGGAACAGGCAAAUUAGGACGAAUUUCAACAGAAAACCAGUCUCAAACUUCAACUCAUGAGGGAAGUCGUGCGACCACAUUAGGAUUU